AUGGCGGAAGCCUCAGCUCUUAAAUUUAGUAUAACAUUGGCGCAAAGGGCGGGAUGUAAUCACCUUAUUAUUAAGGCAAACAAUCUGGAGAAGAUUGAUACCAUGAAUAACAGAGGACAGUCGGCAUCGGCAAUUUUCGACGACUGUUUUCAUUAUGCUUGUGACUUCGUUGCUACUAGAUUCGAACAUUGUAAUAGAGAAGUAAAUAAAGUAGCUCACGAGCUUGCGAGUUUAGCUAGAUUUUCAUUGAUUUCUAAUUGAUUUGAGAAACCUUUAAAUGAAAUUGUAAUGAUCCUCACAAAUUAUGUACUUUUUAUUUCUAAUGAAUAA
rnacentral:rRNA from 1 species